GACGAACGCUGGCGGCGUGCUUAACACAUGCAAGUCGAACGCUGAAGCUUGGUGCUUGCACUGGGUGGAUGAGUGGCGAACGGGUGAGUAAUACGUGAGUAACCUGCCCUUGACCCUGGGAUAAGCUUGGGAAACUGGGUCUAAUACUGGAUACGACAUGCCACUGCAUGGUGGUGUGUGGAAAGGGUUUUAUUGGUUUUGGAUGGGCUCACGGCCUAUCAGCUUGUUGGUGGGGUAAUGGCCUACCAAGGCGACGACGGGUAGCCGGCCUGAGAGGGUGACCGGCCACAAUGGGACUGAGAAACGGCCCAGACUCCUACGGGAGGCAGCAGUGGGAGAUAUUGCACGAUGGGCGGAAGCCUGAUGCAGCGACGCCGCGUGAGGGAUGACGGCCUUCGGGUUGUAAACCUCUUUCAGCACGGAAGAAGCGAGAGUGACGGUACGUGCAGAAGAAGCGCCGGCUAACUACGUG
rnacentral:rRNA from 1 species